UACGAAGGGGGCUAGCGUUGCUCGGAAUUACUGGGAGUAAAGCGCACGUAGGCGGUCUUUUAAGUCGGGGGUGAAAUCCUGGAGCUCAACUCCAGAACUGCCUUCGAUACUGGAAGACUCGAGUCCGGGAGAGGUGAGUGGAACUGCGAGUGUAGAGGUGAAAUUCGUAGAUAUUCGCAAGAACACCAGUGGCGAAGGCGGCUCACUGGCCCGGUACUGACGCUGAGGUGCGAAAGCGUGGGGAGCAAACAGG
rnacentral:rRNA from 1 species